AAUUUUAAAUUCAAAAUUUAGUUAUUUCAUAUUUUUUAAUAAAAAAAUAAAUAAACUAUCUCAAAAUAAAAUAAAAUUCGUAAAAAAAAUACAAAUCUUAUCUAAAUUAUUAAUUAUUAUAAAUCAGCUACUCAAUCUUUUAAAAUUUUAAUUUUACUAUCCAAUUUUACCAUUCAAUUGAUUUAAGUCGACCAAUGAUACUUCGAUUUUGAAAUUUAAGUCAAAAUUUUAUUUUAAUAAAUUUAUAGUUGUGAGAAUUAUAUAAAGUAUAAUAAUUAAAUCUGUCAAGAUAAGCAACUCAUUUAAAUUUUAAAAUCAAAAUUUUAUUUACAAACUCAAAUUAAAUAAAUUAAAAAAAAGUAGCUGAUAAAAUUAAAAAUUUAAAAUAUUU
rnacentral:lncRNA from 1 species